AUAACAUCAAUGUAGAACAUUUUGUUAUGCUCUACACUUGGAAGUUGAAGGCUUUGCUGGCCAGUCAUGGUCAGCUCCUUUUAAAUUCAUUAGCGGGACUUUGAAAGACUUGGCUUCAGUUUGAUAAUAAUGUCUAUGCUGUCGCUAAGGAAUGUUUAUGUCUGGCUUAUAAUUGUCCUUUGGACUGUCUCUUAAAGAGGCACAACCCACUUUGAC
rnacentral:misc_RNA from 1 species